AAGGAGAACAAUACAGUUUCUCUCUUGGGUGAGCUGCCUGAAAACCUGGCCCCUUCCCAGGCCCAGAAAGAAAUACCUGGAAGAGGGAUUACUUGGAAAUGAAUGACUAAACCCUCAACUUCCUGACCCAGAAAUGGAUCAAGACAAAGUCCAUUAUCAAGAAAUAGGAUUGGACUCUGGAAAAUGCAGGGAACUUGGUCCAGAGGGAAACUGUCUCUUUGGUCAAUAACCAGCUUGGCAGCCUGAGGUCCAAACUGAGGAGAUACUAUGGAUUAGUUGUGUGUUUAUCCAGUUUCUUGGAGCAUGAAUCAAUAAAACCUGAACCAAUCAGGUUUUAGCAUUACAAAGAAAAGACUUUUGGUUGAGACGGGGUUUUUAACCUGGGUCCCAAGAACUUUAAAAUUAUAUACACAUACCCAGGAGCCUUGAGGAUCCCAGUGGAUGAUCUGAAGACAAUGUGCUCUCCUGUGACAGGAAGAGGAAUAAAAGACCACUAAAUACAAGAGAAUAUUGAGACUCUUGACUUUCUGCGUAGUGU